rnacentral:rRNA from 1 species
GACGAACGCUGGCGGCGUGCUUAACACAUGCAAGUCGAACGGUGACCCUCGGAGCUUGCUUCGGGGUGAACAGUGGCGAACGGGUGAGUAACACGUGAGUAACCUGCCCCUGACUCUGGAAUAAGCGCUGGAAACGGCGUCUAAUACCGGAUACGACACGCCUCCGCAUGGGGAGCGUGUGGAAAGUUUUUCGGUCUGGGAUGGACUCGCGGCCUAUCAGCUUGGUGGUGAGGGAAUGGCUCACCAAGGCGAUGACGGGGAGCCGGCCUGAGAGGGCGACCGGCCACACUGGGACUGGGACACGGCCCAGACUCAGACGGGAGGCAGCAGUGGGGAAUAUUGCACGAUGGGCGAAAGCCUGAUGCAGCGACGCCGCGUGAGGGAGGACGGCCUUCGGGUUGUAAACCUCUUUCAGCAGGGAAGAAGCGAAAGUGACGGUACCUGCAGAAGAAGCACCGGCUAACUACGUGCCAGCCGCCGCGGUAAUAC